rnacentral:rRNA from 1 species
GACGAACCGUGCGAACGUUGUUCGGAAUCACUGGGCUUAAAGGGCGCGUAGGCGGGUUUUCAAGUCUGUGGUGAAAUCCUCCAGCUUAACUGGAGAAGUGCCGUGGAUACUGGAGACCUCGAGGAGGGUAGGGGCAUCUGGAACAGCCGGUGGAGCGGUGAAAUGCGCAGAUAUCAGGAGGAACACCGGUGGCGAAGGCGGUUCUCUGGGCCUUACCUGACGCUGAGGAGCGAAAGCAUGGGGAGCAAACAGG